CAAUGGAUGAGAAGAAUAAUCAGUAUAUGUCUAAGGUUACUGAUGCAGGGCUUACAUUUCAAUAAUGUGUCCAACUGGUGGCAAAAGAAAUAUAAAAGAUGAAAGAAUAUUCCAGAUUGAUGGAACAACUUGUACCAAGGCCCUGCACAAGAGUACACCCCUUAUAAAAGACGGAAAGAAGGCUAUUGUAGCUGGGGCACAAAAAGUGAGAAUCAUGAAGACAAAAUGAAAAGCGUGUAGUAGAGCCACAUGCAAGAAAUUUUGGAUGACUGCAGAGAAUGACUAUGGUACUAACCUUAAAAGUUGACAACAAGAGGUCUUCCAAGAACCCUUUAAACUCUUCAUGGGGAGAAGACAGAAACAUAAGUUCUAUUCUGUAAUCGGGAAUUUUCCGGUAAAAACAUGUAUGAAACAAGUGUGAAUGUCUACAGAGCAUAAUCCACAGGCAAGUGAAAAAUGUUUUGGCCAAGUGACCCAAAUCAGCUAGAAGUUCACGCCCCAUGCAGAGAGAAAAUUAUGAAAUUUGACCACCAUCCAUAUAAAGAGGCCUAUAUCCCACUUCCAUCUUCUUUGGUGGGACAUUUAACUCCUGUUCCUGACUUCCAACAACUCUAGUUGUACACUUUGUCCAAUACUGUUUUU